rnacentral:rRNA from 1 species
UACGUAGGGUGCGAGCGUUAAUCGGAAUUACUGGGCGUAAAGCGUGCGCAGGCGGUGAUGUAAGACAGGGGUGAAAUCCCCGGGCUUAACCUGGGAACUGCAUUUGUGACUGCAUCGCUGGAGUGCGGCAGAGGGGGAUGGAAUUCCGCGUGUAGCAGUGAAAUGCGUAGAUAUGCGGAGGAACACCGAUGGCGAAGGCAAUCCCCUGGGCCUGCACUGACGCUCAUGCACGAAAGCGUGGGGAGCAAACAGG